rnacentral:misc_RNA from 1 species
GAAAUGCGAUAAGUAAUGUGAAUUGCAGAAUUCCGUGAAUCAUCGAAUCUUUGAACGCACAUUGCGCCCUCUGGUAUUCCGGGGGGCAUGCCUGUCCGAGCGUCAUUGCGAACCCCUCAAGCACGGCUUGUGUGAUGGGCCCUCCCGCGUCUUGGUCGUCAAGACGGGCCCGAAAUGCAGUGGCGGCUUCGCGGUUAUCCGAUCAGCCAGAGCGUAUGGGGACUUUCUCUCUGUCACACGCCCGCGGCGCGGACCGACGCCUGUCGACCUUCAUUCAUCGUUUUCUCGGUUGACCUCGGAUCAGGUAGGGAUACCCGCUAAACUUAAGC